rnacentral:rRNA from 1 species
GACAGAGGUGCCGAGCGUUAGGCGGAAUCACUGGGCUUAAAGCGUGUGUAGGCGGAUCGUUAAGUACCUUGUGAAAUCCCACGGCUCAACCGUGGAACUGCUGGGUAUACUGGCGGUCUUGAGCCACCUAGGGGCGAGCGGAACAAACGGUGGAGCGGUGAAAUGCGUAGAUAUCGUUUGGAACGCCAACGGUGAAAACAGCUCGCUGGGGGUGUGCUGACGCUGAGACACGAAAGCCAGGGGAGCGAAUGGG